UGAGGAAUAUUGGUCAAUGGGGGCAACCCUGAACCAGCCAAGUCGCGUGAAGGAUGAAGGUCUUAUGGAUUGUAAACUUCUUUUACACGGGAAUAAAGUGGGGGACGUGUCCCCCUUUGCAUGUACCGUGUGAAUAAGGAUCGGCUAACUCCGUGCCAGCAGCCGCGGUAAUACGGAGGAUCCGAGCGUUAUCCGGAUUUAUUGGGUUUAAAGGGUGCGCAGGCGGGAUGUUAAGUCGGCGGUGAAAUUUUGCAGCUCAACUGUAAAAGUGCCUUCGAUACUGGCCUCCUUGAGUGUGGAUGAAGUAGGCGGAAUUUGUGGUGUAGCGGUGAAAUGCUUAGAUAUCACGAGGAACUCCGAUUGCGCAGGCAGCUUACUAGGCCACAACUGACGCUCAUGCACGAAGGCAUGGGGAUCAAACA
rnacentral:rRNA from 1 species